rnacentral:rRNA from 1 species
UACGAAGGGGGCUAGCGUUGUUCGGAAUCACUGGGCGUAAAGCGCACGUAGGCGGAUCGAUAAGUCAGGGGUGAAAUCCCGAGGCUCAACCUCGGAACUGCCUUUGAUACUGUCGACCUUGAGUCCGGGAGAGGUGAGUGGAACUCCGAGUGUAGAGGUGAAAUUCGUAGAUAUUCGGAAGAACACCAGUGGCGAAGGCGGCGCACUGGCCCGGUACUGACGCGGAGGUGCGAAAGCGUGGGGAGCAAACAGG